GUGCUUGUUUUGGCAGCAUAUAUGCUAAAACCGGAAUAAUAUAGAGAAGAUGAGCAUGGCCCCUGUGCAAGGAUGACACACAGAUUCAUGAAGCAGUCCAUAUUCUU
ensembl:snRNA U6 U6 spliceosomal RNA